UACGUAGGGUGCGAGCGUUGUCCGGAAUUACUGGGCGUAAAGAGCUCGUAGGUGGUUUGUCGCGUUGUUCGUGAAAUGCCACAGCUUAACUGUGGGCGUGCGGGCGAUACGGGCAGACUGGAGUACUGCAGGGGAGACUGGAAUUCCUGGUGUAGCGGUGGACUGCGCAGAUAUCAGGAGGAACACCAAUAGCGAAGGCAGCUCGCUGGGACGUUACUGACACUGAGGCGCGAAAGCGUGGGGAGCGAACAGG
rnacentral:rRNA from 1 species